AGCCCCUGUCUCACUGCAGCCAGGGGGUCGCUGAGGUUCCCCCCCCCCAAAUUCAGCAAGGAGCUGCUCUGAUCCGUUCCCGUCUCCUCUUCCUCCUCCAACACCGGGGCUUUGCUGCGGGGCUGGGGAGGGAAAGGGAGCACCACAGCCCCCCCUGGGGGUCUCAGCAGCACAAAACCUGACCGGGGGGGGCACCUUCACAUCCCACAGAGACCUCUGUACCCCGGUCUGCAGACCCUGAGCCCCGUGCUUCCACCGGGCAGCGCCGGCAUCCCCAACCACAGCCUCUCCGGCUUCCCCUUCCUCGCCCCGGCACAAGCGGAGUAUGGGGCUGGCGAGGCCCCGCCGCCCCCCGGCUUCCUUCAGCCCGGCCCCCCGGCUUCGUGGCAGCCCCCGCGGGACAUGGCAGCACUGGGGACCAGCACCAGGAUUGUCCCCACCGAGGACGCGGCCCCCGGCAGCUCCC
rnacentral:lncRNA from 1 species